GCUGCACUGUAAUAAGACCCGCUUACUUGUAGGUAUGCAGGGACUGCAGAUAAGCCUGGACUAGAAUGACUAAUGGUGUUGGCGCCCUGCGUUCAUUUAUUCACCUGCUUUGAUGCAUCCAUCCAUUCAUCAAGUAUACAGUUUAUCUUGUGCAGGGUCCUUAAUGAAUCCAUCUUGACAAUCUACUGAGAAGUGGUAUUAGUGAGAGGAUCACAGGUGUUUUGGAGAUAGAUACGGCUCUUACAUCACAUUCCGACAGACGCUACUCUAUAGCCGGGGGCUACAGCUGGAUUCUCUCCCGUUUCUGGAGCUAUUGGGAGCUUCGGAAGAGCUGCGUAGUGUUUGCAUGUGAACACGCUCCACCAAUGCAUCGCAGAGGCUUUGUUGUGUCAAAUACACACACCCAUGCACACACCCCACUGCCAGUGUGUAGGAGGCUCAUAAUGGACCAUUUGCAUGAAUAGGACGUUUUCAGGAUAAGCAGGAGCGACAAGGGCUACACAGAAGUUUCUUUUCAAUAGCGGCCUGGGCUGGUUGAGGCUAGAUCAUUUGAAUAUGUGCAACCUUCAUUUGCAUGCAAAGCUCCGGGCACUGCUACCCGUCUUGUGGCAAUGCCGAGAGAAAAUAGCACACCGGUAGACAUGAACUACCUUUUUUUUUUUUUUUUUUUUUGCUCAUCUGCUUUCCACUACCGAAUCCAAAAAAAAAGUACUGCAGAAACAUCCUGAAGUUUCCCUUUUUAAUAAUUCAAGAACUUGACCCAAAAGAAAGUUUUGGUAAAAAAGAAACUUUUUUUGUAAUUCUAUUGAAUUUCUCCUGUUGAGUUUGUACGACUGAAGAAAACUCCAACGUAGGUAGAAAAUAAAGCAAUUUCACGCUCCCAGGAAUAUUUAUUUCAGCAAAACUUCCAUUUUUGACUCCAUUUGAUGAACAUUUCCUGCAAUGAGUUAUUUCAAUUUGCAGAGUCUUAUCCUCAUCAAGCUUCAAACUCAUGUUUUGUUAUGUUUAUGUUUGGUGUAUCUGUGACAUCAAUCCAGCAUUUAAAGAAAUCCAUGACUGUUAAUGUUGAAUUGGUACAUAAAAUUAUUCAUUUAUUUUCUACCGCUAUCCUCACAAGGGGGUGCUGGAGCCUAUCCCAGCUGUCUUUGGGCGAGAGGAUUGGUGGCCAGCCAAUCACAGAGCACAUAUAGACAAAUAACCAUUCAUAAUAAAAGAAAGUUUUGGUAAAAAGAAACUUUUUGUAAUUCUAUUGAAUUUCUCCUGUUGAGUUUGUACGACUGAAGAAAACUCCAACGUAGGUAGAAAAUAAAGCAAUUUCACGCUCCCAGGAAUACUUAUUUCAGCAAAACUUCCAUUUUUGACUCCAUUUGAUGAACAUUUCCUGCAAUGCAUUAUUUCAAUUUGCAGAGUCUUAUCCUCAUCAAGCUUCAAACUCAUGCUUAUUAUAUUCUCUGCCAGUCGGGAUUUAGGGAAGUUAUUCACAAUAUGGUGGCAGAUUUGGCAUCCAGUGUUGGGCAGCUCAUCUAAGCUGAUUGGAUGCUCAUUUACACUUUCAGGAAUAGUCACCGCAUUCAAGGCUAUGUUCACUGCAAGGUUUUUUUGUUUUUUUUCAAACUAUGCAUUAAUGGCACAAACAUGUCACGUUGCCAGAUGCUUUGACAUUGAACAGCCAUCGGUGUUGUUUUAGGUCGUGUAUAAACCAACCGUGUCCGUGUUUAUAUAAAGUGCUCACUCGACGCUGAAGUUUGAACACCUGUGUCGGAGCGUUAUCGGCGCUACUAGGGAGGCAUACAGUUGCUCCAACUGCAAAUCAUUUGUGUAUAGAAAUAGACAGAUUGCUAUUUGACCCGUGCUGAUAACCGGCAAUAGCAAAUUGAAAGUGUAAAUACAUUUAAUAUUGGCGUACACGUUGUACACUGGCUACUCUAAAUUGCAUCCAAGUUUCAUUUCGAUAGUAAAGUCUGAAGAUACAACAAGGCUGCUGAAUAUUAAGGCUCUAAAGGCGGCACGGCGGUCUAGUGGUUAGCGCCCAGACCUCACAGCUAGGAGACCAGGGUUCAAUUCCGCCCUCGGCCAUCUCUGUGUGGAGUUUGCAUGUUCUCCCCGUGCAUGCGUGGGUUUUCUCCGGGUACUCCGGUUUCCUCCCACAUUCCAAAAACAUGCUAGGUUAAUUAGCCACUCCAAAUUGUCCAUAGGUAUGAAUGUGAGUGUGAAUGGUUGUUUGUCUAUAUGUGCCCUGUGAUUGGCUGGCCACCAGUCCAGGGUGUACCCCGCCUCAUGUCCAAAGACAGCUGGGAUAGGCUCCAGCACCCCUGCGACCCUCGUGAAGAAAAGCGGUAGAAAAUGAAUGAAUGAAUGAAUGAAUAAAUGCAGUAUAUUAAGUUCUUAGUGAAGUAUUUCUAUAAUGCCGCAUAUUACCUCACUAGCAAGAUCUCAGUGUAUAGAAUGAUCAUAUAUUAUUUUCAUAUUAUUUGCAUACUGUAUUUGUAUAUAACUGGGUAAAAUUGUUGAUUUGUUAAUACUUGGGUUGUUUAUAUUGUUUAUUUUUCUUUAUUGUGUAUUUUGUACUGCUUAACUGAUUGUGUACUCUUGCUGCUGUGCAAUGUAAAUUUCCCCACUUAGGGACGAAUAAAGGCAUAUCUUAUCUUUAUCUUAUGGUAAGGGUUAUACUCGCUUUUGUGUGAUCGUGUAAAUCAACCAAAAGCUUCAAGUAUCACUGAGGUUCGUCCCAAGGUUGUACAACUUUGAAUUCCAUCACAAUUUCUCAGGAGUGCAAAUGUCCGUCAUGCAUGAUGUCACACAAGAUGCCAGACACCGCUGGAGUUAUUGCAACAUCCUGGGCAAGGUGUGUUAGGAGGAGAGGAAGAAAAAACAAGUUACAUGAAGCAAACCGGGUCAAAGCAGUAACUAAAUAGUUUAUCAUGUUUAUGUUUGGUGUAUCUGUGACAUCAAUCCGGCAUUUAAAGAACUCCAUAACUGUUAAUGUUGAAUUGUUACAUAAAAUUAUUCAUUCAUUUUCUACCGCUUAUCCUCAAGUCUGUUUAUUUUUACAGAAAACUCACAAUGUGCUCGUCAGCCCAUCUGAAAUUAUUACUGAUUAAUUACUCAGUACAAUUACUUUACAAUGAAUGCUAAAAUCAUCACUCAGCAACUUAAAACACCAAAUAAAAUAUUCAUUCAUUUU